rnacentral:rRNA from 1 species
UGGGGAAUAUUGGACAAUGGGCGAAAGCCUGAUCCAGCCAUGCCGCGUGUGUGAAGAAGGUCUUCGGAUUGUAAAGCACUUUAAGUUGGGAGGGAGGGCAUUAACCUAAUACGUUAGUGUUUUGACGUUACCGACAGAAUAAGCACCGGCUAACUCUGUGCCAGCAGCCGCGGUAAUACAGAGGGUGCAAGCGUUAAUCGGAAUUACUGGGCGUAAAGCGCGCGUAGGUGGUUUGUUAAGUUGGAUGUGAAAUCCCCGGGCUCAACCUGGGAACUGCAUUCAAAACUGACUGACUAGAGUAUGGUAGAGGGUGGUGGAAUUUCCUGUGUAGCGGUGAAAUGCGUAGAUAUAGGAAGGAACACCAGUGGCGAAGGCGACCACCUGGACUAAUACUGACACUGAGGUGCGAAAGCGUGGGGAGCAAACA